UGGGCUCUGGGGCAGCCGCAGGAGGGGCAGGCUGGGAGGGGCUGCCGCAGCUGUUCACUUGGGCAGGACGUCAGAGGACUGGGACACCAGCUUCCCAUCACGGGUCUCGAACCGCGGCCCUGGUGGAGCUGGCGCGGCUGAAGGAGCUGGAGCCCGCGCCAGAGCCAAAGCUGGAGCCCAGGCCGUAGCCGAGGCCGGGGCUUGUGAGGCCCCCGGAGGCCGAGCUCAGGCCACCUGCAUAGCCGCUGGUCUCCCUGUGGCUACCCGUGUUCUGCAUCCCAGACUCCAGCCGGCUCUCCUCGCCCUCCAGCAGCUUCCCGUAGGCGGCCACUCGAUGUCCAGGGCCAGCUUGACGUUCAUGAGCUCCUGGUGCUCACGCAGCUGCCGCCGUGUCCUGCUGGGCCCGCUGCAGGCGGCCUCCGGCUCGGACAGCUGGGCGUUGGCAUCCUUACCGGCCAGCUCCCCACGCUGCUCGGCAUCUGCGAUGGCGGCCUCCAGGAAGCCCUCUGGCCUUUGAGGCCCUCAGUCUCAGCCUGGAGCCGCUGGUGCUCCGCUCACCCCGCAGAUCUCAGUCGCUGUGCGCCGCAGGUCACCCCCGGGCUUCCCAGCCUGCGUCUGCAGCUCCUCAUACUCCAUCUGGCGCGUGCUGUCAGCCUCAGCCCAGCCACCAUAGGCGAUGUCCUCGCCCUGCGCCUUCACCUCAGCGAUGAGACUGUCCAUGUCCAGGAGCGGCUGUUGUCCGUGGACAGCACCACGGGCGUGUCUGAGCUCUGGGACUGCAGCUCCCGGGUCCCCUGGUCAUACAGCUGCCUGAGGACGUUGAUCUGGUCAGUCAGCCCUUGCAGGGGGGACUCCAGCUUCAUCCACAUCCUUCUUGAUGAGGGCAGAUUCAUUCUCCAUCGCUGCUGUAUGCUUAUUGAUCUCAUCCUCAUACUUGUUCUUGAAGUCUUCCACCAGCGCUUGCUUGUUGCCAAGCUCCGCCUCCAGCUUCAGCUUCUCCUGGCCCAGAGUCUAAGGUUGGGCCAGGUUGUUGAUUUAGCUCUGGAACAUGCUGUCCGUGUGGCUCUGAACCAUCUUCUGCUGCUGCAGGAGGCUCCACUUGGUCUCCAGCAUCUUGUUCUGCUGCUCAAGGAACUGAUGAAGGAGGUGAACCUGUUUUUGAGGCUCUUGAUCUGCUCCUUCUCCUGGAUGUGCACAGCCUGGAUAUUCAGGUCCAAUUCCAAGUUAGAAGGACUCAGUAGGCUCUGGUU
rnacentral:lncRNA from 13 species